rnacentral:rRNA from 1 species
UACAUAGGGUGCAAGCGUUAAUCGGAAUUACUGGGCGUAAAGCGUGCGCAGGCGGUUGUGCAAGACCGAUGUGAAAUCCCCGGGCUUAACCUGGGAAUGGCAUUGGUGACUGCACGGCUAGAGUGUGUCAGAGGGGGGUAGAAUUCCACGUGUAGCAGUGAAAUGCGUAGAGAUGUGGAGGAAUACCGAUGGCGAAGGCAGCCCCCUGGGAUAACACUGACGCUCAUGCACGAAAGCGUGGGGAGCAAACAGG